GUCUACUUCCAUAUGUCUGGCAUACAGUCAGUCAUAAAGAACUUCUGCACAGCCGCCACCACCUCUAAUUGAAUAAUAGGCCAGUACCUUCUGUAAAAGAGUAAGGGAAAACCAUCAGGGCCCGAGACUUUAUCCUCGGCCAUAAACCAUACUACUCUAUAUCCCCUCCUCAGUCACCUCACAAAGAAGGUCUCUAUUCUCCUGCACAGUGACCAAGCUAUCAGAAGGAGGAAAGUGGCUCAUCUAAUCUACUCCCAAUUUCAUUAUCCAAUG
rnacentral:lncRNA from 1 species